rnacentral:rRNA from 1 species
UACGGAGGGGGCUAGCGUUGUUCGGAAUUACUGGGCGUAAAGCGCACGUAGGCGGCUUUGUAAGUUAGAGGUGAAAGCCCAGGGCUUAACCCUGGAAUUGCCUUUAAGACUGCAUCGCUAGAAUCGUGGAGAGGUGAGUGGAAUUCCGAGUGUAGAGGUGAAAUUCGUAGAUAUUCGGUAGAACACCAGUGGCGAAGGCGACUCACUGGACACGUAUUGACGCUGAGGUGCGAAAGCGUGGGGAGCAAACAGG